CAACUGAUAGUAUUACAAUAUGGUGGAAUAUCAAUGAAGAUACUACAUCACAUUAUCCUCCAGUACAUUACAUUGUUAGUGUACACAAUAUUACUAUUAAUACAACUGAUACUAAUGUAACUAUUAAUGGACUAUAUCCCAAUAAUGAAUAUACUGUAUACAUAAAACCAGCUAAUGCUAUUGGAGAGGGACCACUGAUUAACAUUACAGUCAACAUAACUGAUCAACAGUCGAUUUCAACAACAACCAC